UGGAUUUUCCUCAGAAGAAUGCGCCGGCGUGAUAUUCAGUGGAGGAUAUAGACGGAGGCUGCAUCACUGGCAUAAUUGCACAAGAAAGGCACACGUGUCGUUCAGUUUUGAGUUUGCUGGAAAAUCAUACUGAGACUGAAUACACCACUCUUCCCUUCACCUACAUCUCUCACAGUAAGGGGAUGCUCGUUCAGUUUUCAACUCCAUUCAGAAUCUUAGAGUAAGUGUGCAUUCACUAUU